rnacentral:rRNA from 1 species
CAGCAGCCGCGGGAAAACGAAGGGGGCUAGCGUUGCUCGGAAUUACUGGGCGUAAAGGGAGCGUAGGCGGAUCGUUUAGUCAGGGGUGAAAUCCCGGGGCUCAACCUCGGAACUGCCUUUGAUACUGGCGAUCUUGAGUGCGAGAGGGGUAAGUGGAACUGCGAGUGCAGAGGUGAAAUUCGUAGAUAUUCGCAAGAACACCAGUGGCGAAGGCGGCUUACUGGCUCGAUACUGACGCUGAGGCGCGAAAGCGUGGGGAGCAAACAGGAUUAGAUACCCGGGUAGUCCCUGUCUCUUAUAA